GACGAACGCUGGCGGCGUGCUUAACACAUGCAAGUCGAACGGAAAGGCCCUGCUUUUGUGGGGGGCUCGAGUGGCGAACGGGUGAGUAACACGUGAGUAACCUGCCCUUGACUUUGGGAUAACUUCAGGAAACUGGGGCUAAUACCGGAUAGGAGCUCCGGCUGCAUGGUGGGGGUUGGAAAGUUUCGGCGGUUGGGGAUGGACUCGCGGCUUAUCAGCUUGUUGGUGGGGUAGUGGCUUACCAAGGCUUUGACGGGUAGCCGGCCUGAGAGGGUGACCGGCCACAUUGGGCCUGAGAUACGGCCCAGACUCCUACGGGAGGCAGCAGUGGGGAAUAUUGCACAAUGGGCGGAAGCCUGAUGCAGCAACGCCGCGUGCGGGAUGACGGCCUUCGGGUUGUAAACCGCUUUCGCCUGUGACGAAGCGUGAGUGACGGUAAUGGGUAAAGAAGCACCGGCUAACUACGUG
rnacentral:rRNA from 1 species